rnacentral:rRNA from 1 species
UGGGGAAUUUUGGACAAUGGGCGAAAGCCUGAUCCAGCAAUGCCGCGUGUGUGAAGAAGGCCUUCGGGUUGUAAAGCACUUUUGUCCGGAAAGAAAUCCUUGGCUCUAAUACAGUCGGGGGAUGACGGUACCGGAAGAAUAAGCACCGGCUAACUACGUGCCAGCAGCCGCGGUAAUACGUAGGGUGCAAGCGUUAAUCGGAAUUACUGGGCGUAAAGCGUGCGCAGGCGGUUUGCUAAGACCGAUGUGAAAUCCCCGGGCUCAACCUGGGAACUGCAUGGUGACUGGCAGGCUAGAGUAUGGCAGAGGGGGUAGAAUUCCACGUGUGAGCAGUGAAAUGCGUAGAGAUGUGGAGGAAUACCGAUGGCGAAGGCAGCCCCU